rnacentral:lncRNA from 1 species
UAUACAUAGACGCUGUCGGCUACAAACGUACAGUCAGUCAUGUUGUUGGGAAUUUUUCUUGUUACAUUCGUUUCUCUUUAUCCAACAUACGCCUUUUCUGAUAUGGAGGCUGCUCAAAAUGGAUCCUGUGUAACCGUACAAGUGGAGGCAAGGAUAAACCCUGAAGAAUGUGACAGAAGGCACCGUCGAUGCCAAUAUCCUGCAGCUUGCCGAUGCCCUCCUCUCUUACGCCUCGGUCCACGGUCUUGGCGCAAGUUUUUCUACAAUCCACACCACCGCAUAUGUCAGCCGAACGGAGAAAGAUACAACUGCAAUGGCUUUCGUUCAUAUCGUGAAUGCGAGGCACGUUGCUCUCCCGCACCAGGAGCACGUUAGUGAUGUACGGUUUUAUCAUUUAUGCCCGCACUUCUCGUAAUAAACUAGUUGACACCAGAA